rnacentral:rRNA from 1 species
UACGGAGGAUUCAAGCGUUAUCCGGAUUUAUUGGGUUUAAAGGGUGCGUAGGCGGUCGGAUAAGUUAGAGGUGAAAUCCCGAGGCUCAACUUCGGAAUUGCCUCUGAUACUGUUCGGCUAGAGAGUAGUUGCGGUAGGCGGAAUGUAUGGUGUAGCGGUGAAAUGCUUAGAGAUCAUACAGAACACCGAUUGCGAAGGCAGCUUACCAGACUGAGUCUGACGCUGAUGCACGAGAGCAUGGGUAGCGAACAGG